UACGGAGGGUGCAAGCGUUAUCCGGAUUCACUGGGUUUAAAGGGUGCGUAGGAGGGCAGGUAAGUCAGUGGUGAAAUCUUCGAGCUUAACUCGGAAACUGCCGUUGAUACUAUCUGUCUUGAAUACCGUGGAGAUGAGCGGAAUAUGUCAUGUAGCGGUGAAAUGCUUAGAUAUGACAUAGAACACCAAUUGCGAAGGCAGCUCGUUACACGAAUAAUGACUCUGAGGCACGAAAGCGUGGGGAUCAAACAGG
rnacentral:rRNA from 1 species